rnacentral:SRP_RNA from 1 species
GCGUGCGGUGACGCGGGCCUGUGGUCCUAGCUACUCCGGAGGCUGAGGAGGGAGGGGCUGGAGCCCAGGAGUUCUGGGCCGCAGUGCGCUAUGCCGAUUGGGUGUCUGCACUAAGUUCGGCAACAAUACGGGGACCUCCCGGGAACGGGGGACCACCAGGUUGCCUAAGGAGGGGUGAACCGGCCCAGGAUGGAAACGGAGCAGGUCGAAACUCCCGUGCUGAUCAGUAGUAGGAUCGCGCUUGUGAACAGCCACCGCACUCGAGGCUGGGCAACAUAGCGGGACCUCAUCUCUU